rnacentral:lncRNA from 1 species
AUACCUUCAAGAAUUAAAUAUUUAUUAAAAUAUCAGUAUACUGUUGUUUCUAAUAAAAUUAUCAAAAGAUUUAAGGUUUGCAAUAAUACCUCUCAAUAGGAUACAUCCAUCUAUAAUGUACCGGUCCACCAACUUUAACAUCUGAAGCUAGGUGAAUAAGCAGAUGUACCAUAAUAAUAAAAAAUCCAGGAGGAAAAAUCUUUUCCAUUUGGCAAAGUGUAAUUGCAAUAUCGGAUUCUAACUGAUCAAGUUCCCGAGGAUCAAUAACUUUAGAACAUAA